GAUAGUAGAUAAGUGCUUGA
rnacentral:misc_RNA from 1 species